rnacentral:tRNA from 1 species
GCGUCCGUGCGACGCGGUGGAGUCGGCGGUGUCCUGGAAGGAGGCGAUCGAGCACAAGCGCGGUCCGUCCUGCCUGAUCUUCUCGCGCCAGACGCUC